UACGUAGGUCACAAGCGUUAUCCGGAAUUACUGGGCGUGAAGAGUAUCGUAGGCGGCGAGGUAAGUGGUAGGUUAAAUAUCCCGGCUCAACUGGGAAAAUGCUUAUCAAACUACCUUGCUAGAGUUAGUUCGGGGAUGCUGGAAUUCUCGGUGGAGGGGUGAAAUCCGUUGAUAUCGAGAAGAACACCAAAGGCGAAGGCAGGCAUCUAGGACUUAACUGACGCUGAUGAACGAAAGCUAGGGGAGCGAACUGG
rnacentral:misc_RNA from 1 species